rnacentral:rRNA from 1 species
GACGAACGCUGGCGGCGUGCCUAAUACAUGCAAGUCGAGCGCUGAAGGUUGGUACUUGUACCAACUGGAUGAGCAGCGAACGGGUGAGUAACGCGUGGGGAAUCUGCCUUUGAGCGGGGGAUAACAUCGGGAAACGAAUGCUAAUACCGCAUAAAAAUUUUAAACACAAGUUUUAAGAGUGAAAGAUGCAAUUGCAUCACCCAAAGAUUAUCCCGCGUUGUAUUAGCUAGUUGGUGAGGUAAAGGGCCACCAAGGCGAUGAUACAUAGCCGACCUGAGAGGGUGGUCCGCCACCACGGGACUGGGACACGGCCCAAACCCCUACCGGGGGCCGCCGUAGGGGAUCCUCGGCCAUUGACGGAAGUCUGAACGAGCAACGCCGCGGGAGUGAAGGAGGGUUUCGGAUCGUAAAACUCUGUUGGUAGGGAAGAACGUUGGUUGGAGUGGAAAGCUCAUCAAGUGACGGUAACUACCCAGAAAGGGACGGCUAACUACGUG